CCCUUCAAGGACCAUAGAUCACAAUCCAUCAAUACAUCGAGAAUUACUACUUUACACACGGAUGAUAGCAUAAUUCAAGUAUUCAAUUCAUUACAUUCAUAAUUCUAUAACAUUAUGCUUGCAUCAAUCAAUAACCACACUUUAAGAUCCAAUUUGAGAAAAUAGGGUAAUUCAUGGAUUCUUGGGGAAUUCAACUUAAAAUAAUAUAAAAUCA
rnacentral:lncRNA from 1 species